CCCUCCGGAUACGACUCUGGGAAAGCUCUCGCGUCAGUUCUACACCGCGGGCGAUCCAGCCAACAUACAGAAGGCCGUGGAGGAGCUUAAAGAUGGGAAGCACGUGUUAGCAGCUCCACGGUCAGCGCUUAUCCACAUCCUGCACAGAAGUUUCUCAGAGACGGGAAGAUGCACGAGUUACAUCAUGUCUGAAGGAUUCUUGGAAGCAAAUAUGCUGAGCUUCAUUUUUCCUAAAGGAUCGCCGCUUAAGGCAAAAGUCGAUCCACUCAUCGUGCGCCUGCGAGAGACCGGGAUCCUGGACCGCGCGUACCGGCGAGGAGUGGCCAACGCGACCGAGUGCCUGAAGCCGGUCGUCGCCAAAAAGCCCAGCGGCGAG